GACGAACGCUGGCGGCGUGCUUAACACAUGCAAGUCGAACGGAAAGGCCCUGCUUUUGUGGGGUGCUCGAGUGGCGAACGGGUGAGUAACACGUGAGUAACCUGCCCUUGACUUUGGGAUAACUUCAGGAAACUGGGGCUAAUACCGGAUAGGAGCUCCUGCUGCAUGGUGGGGGUUGGAAAGUUUCGGCGGUUGGGGAUGGACUCGCGGCUUAUCAGCUUGUUGGUGGGGUAGUGGCUUACCAAGGCUUUGACGGGUAGCCGGCCUGAGAGGGUGACCGGCCACAUUGGGACUGAGAUACGGCCCAGACUCCUACGGGAGGCAGCAGUGGGGAAUAUUGCAAAAUGGGCGGAAGCCUGAUGCAGCAACGCCGCGUGCGGGAUGACGGCCUUCGGGUUGGAAACCGCUUUCGCCUGUGACGAAGCGUGAGUGACGGUAAUGGGUAAAGAAGCACCGGCUAACUACGUG
rnacentral:rRNA from 1 species